rnacentral:rRNA from 1 species
UACGUAGGGGGCUAGCGUUGUUCGGAAUUACUGGGCGUAAAGCGCGCGUAGGCGGACCUGCAAGUCGGGGGUGAAAGCCCGAGGCUCAACCUCGGAACUGCCUUCGAUACUGCGGGUCUCGAGUCCGGGAGAGGUGAGUGGAAUUCCUAGUGUAGAGGUGAAAUUCGUAGAUAUUAGGAAGAACACCAGUGGCGAAGGCGGCUCACUGGCCCGGUACUGACGCUGAGGCGCGAAAGCGUGGGGAGCAAACAGG